rnacentral:tRNA from 1 species
AAAAUUAUAGUAAAAGGAAAAUCCGUUGAUUUCAAAAAAUCGUGAGGGUUCAAGU